AGAGUUUGAUCCUGGCUCAGAGCGAACGCUGGCGGCAGGCUUAACACAUGCAAGUCGAACGGGCUUCUUCGGAAGUCAGUGGCAGACGGGUGAGUAACACGUGGGAACGUGCCCUUCGGUUCGGAAUAACUCAGGGAAACUUGAGCUAAUACCGGAUACGCCCUUUUGGGGAAAGGUUUACUGCCGAAGGAUCGGCCCGCGUCUGAUUAGCUUGUUGGUGGGGUAACGGCCUACCAAGGCGACGAUCAGUAGCUGGUCUGAGAGGAUGAUCAGCCACACUGGGACUGAGACACGGCCCAGACUCCUACGGGAGGCAGCAGUGGGGAAUAUUGGACAAUGGGCGCAAGCCUGAUCCACCCAUGCCGCGUGAGUGAUGAAGGCCUUAGGGUUGUAAAGCUCUUUUGUCCGGGACGAUAAUGACGGUACCGGAAGAAUAAGCCCCGGCUAACUUCGUGCCAGCAGCCGCGGUAAUACGAAGGGGGCUAGCGUUGCUCGGAAUCACUGGGCGUAAAGGGCGCGUAGGCGGCCGAUUAAGUCGGGGGUGAAAGCCUGUGGCUCAACCACAGAAUUGCCUUCGAUACUGGUUGGCUUGAGACCGGAAGAGGACAGCGGAACUGCGAGUGUAGAGGUGAAAUCCGUAGAUAUUCGCAAGAACACCAGUGGCGAAGGCGGCUGUACUGGUUCCGGUUCUGACGCUGAGGCGCGAAAGCUGC
rnacentral:rRNA from 1 species